UCAGUAGACAGAGAAAUUAGAAAGCGAUCUGAACAGAUCAGCAUAUUACGUCUAUUUUUGCUUCUGCUCUUUUAUGUCAAGUGUUAAACAGUUGAGGAAGCAUGUCACUUAUGAGCACCUUCAGCCUUAGUUCACAUGGAAAAUUGAAGGGACUGUGCAUUCUUUUUAUGCUCAUUGGACAAUUCUGCUGCUUUGCAAGUUACAGCCAGGCAAAAGAACUCAUUUACAAAAUAAAUGAAGGAUUACCCAAGGGAAUACUAAUAGGAGCCAUUGGAGCGGAUUUAAAGUUGGAUUUUAAUGCUGAUCCCCCUCUUUCAUUCAAUCUGGCCUCAAAGAAGAUCAGUGGUCAGUAUGUGAACCUAAAUAACACUACAGGAGAACUGUACACAUCUGCCAAAGAAAUUGACAGGGAGAGUCUCUGCAUGGAAAAUCCUGGCAAUCAGGAAUGUACUUUGUCUCUUGAUGUUCUUAUCUUGCCACAGCAAUAUUUCAGACUGAUAAAAAUUAAAAUUGUGAUAAAAGAUAUUAAUGAUAAUGCUCCAAGGUUUCCCACCUCUGAGAUACAAGUAUUUGUCCCAGAAAAUGCCCAGAUCAACUCAAGGUUUGCAAUAGAGCACUCUGCUGUUGACCCUGAUGUUGGCAUUCAUGGAGUACAGACCUACUGGCUUGUUAAUGACUAUGGAGUAUUUACUUUGGAUGUUGAAGAAACAGAAAAUGGUGAACUAACACCCUUUUUAAUUGUUAUAGGAACACUUGACAGAGAAACUAAGAAUGAAUAUGUUACCAGCAUCAUAGCAGAGGAUGGAGGGAGUCCUCAGCUUUUAGGCACAGCAACACUGAAAAUUAUCAUAACUGAUGUCAAUGACAACUGUCCAGUUUUCACUGAAUCUCAGAUUAAUGUCACAGUGUAUGGAAAUUCAACCACCGGAACCCAUGUGACACGAGUUCAUGCAUUUGAUUCAGAUUUAGGAAGCAAUGCUGACAUAACAUAUGCCUACAGUGAAAGAGUGUUUCAGACUACCAAAUCUUUAUUUCAUUUAGAUCCAGUUUCAGGGAUCAUUAAGCUGGUAGGUAAAAUUGAUGGCAACACUGCACAGUUUCACAAAUUAAGCAUACUGGCAAAAGGCCCAGGAUGUAUCCCAGCUGUGGCCCAAGUGACAGUGAACAUCAUCAAAGUGGUAUUUAACCCACCUGUGAUAAUCCCACGAUAUAUUGCUACAGAAUUAGAUGGCACAAUCUAUCUAAAGGAGUCAGAGGCGGCUUACUCACCAAUUGCAUUUUUUACUAUAAAAGACCCUGAUCAGAAGCAAAAAGUAGAAUGCUUUCUGGAGGGGGAUGGCCCAUUCCGAUUAUCUCCGUAUAAGACAUUUGUUAAUGAGUAUCUGCUAGAGACAACAGACUCUUUGGAUUAUGAGACAAGAACUGACUAUGAACUGACUGUGUUUGCCAAAAAUUCCCAGGGUAUUCUCAUAAAAAGUUUCCUAAAAGUUCAGGUAAUAGACGAAAAUGACAAUGCUCCCGUUUUUAAGCAACCAUUGGUUGAUCUAUUCAUUGAAGAAAACAAUGCCCCUAACACUUUUCUAACAAAACUACAUGCAACAGAUAUUGAUAGUGGUGAAAGAGGAGAAAUUUUGUAUAUUCUUGGUCCUGAUGCUCCUUCGGUAUUUGUUUUGGACAAAAUUACUGGAGUUCUCAUGGUCUCCACAUCUCUGGACCGAGAAGAAAAGGAAAAAUAUCGAUUUACAGUUAGAGCUUUAGACUGUGGGUCACCACACAUGGAAUCUAUAGCUUCUGUGGUCAUCACUGUGUUGGACAGGAAUGAUAACAGUCCACGGUUUAUCAACAAGGACUUCAGUUUUUUUGUACCUGAAAAUUUUCCCGGUUUUGGAGAAAUUGGAAUCAUUUCUGUAACUGAUGCUGAUUCAGGAAAGAAUGGAUGGGUUGCAUUAUCUAUUGUGAAUGGUAGUGAUAUUUUUGUUAUCGAUACUGGAAGAGGAGCAUUGAGAGCAAAAGUGCCUCUUGACCGAGAACAACAAAGUUCUUACUUUAUCUGGAUUGAAGCUGUGGAUGGGGGGGAUCCUGCCCUUUCCUCUGUCACUAUGGUCACUGUUUUACUUUUGGAUGUUAAUGACAAUCCACCCCUGGUAUUGUUCCCUCAGUCAAACCUGUCAUAUAUGUUAGUGUUGCCUACAACGCUUCCAGGUACCUCUAUAACAGAGGUUUACGCUGUGGAUAAAGAUACUGGGAUGAAUGCCGUGAUUGCCUAUAGUAUCAUUGGAAGAAGAGGACCUCGUCCCGAAUCUUUUGAAAUUAACCCUAACACGGGCAACAUUACCUUGCAAGAAGCACUAAUGAAAAAUGACUACGGCCUGUACAGGCUGCUGGUGAAAGUCAGUGAUCAUGGACAACCAGUGCCCCUCCAUUCCACAGUGAUGGUUAAUCUGUUCGUAAAUGAAACUGUGAGCAAUGAAAGCUAUAUAGAAAGCUUACUGAGAAAAGAACCUGAAAUCAAAAUUGAGGAAAGACCACCAGAAAAAUUGCUUGUGCCUACAAAGAAAAGAAUUGAACCCUUUCCUUGUCUACCAGGAUUAAUUGUCCUUUCGGCCUUGUGCCUGGCGUUACUGUUGGUAGUAAUAUUAAUGGCAGCAUAUAUCUGUCUAAAGAAACAAAGAAAACACCGAAGUAAAGAAAAACGAUUAGACAUUGAGAUUCCGCUCAAUACUAACAAUGAUUUUCGAGCAAAUGAGAAAAAACUCAUGGAAAUUUCCAAUAUAUGACACUUCAGGAGAAUAACUUUUUAAAGUCAUGUUUACAAAUUCCAAAGUCACUGUAUGUUGGCAUUAUCAAAAAGACAUCAUAUUUAUAAAUAAAUAAAUUAUAUUGAAAUGUUGUUGACAUAUGUAAUUUUGUACUGAAGACAUUUUCCAUAUGGUGCAUGAACAAAAACGUGGAGCUGGGCACAGACUUCAAGAGAUCAUGGCUGCGCUAAACCGUCUUGUGACAACAUUAACUUUGAAAAACGCGGCACACAGGCAUAUCCAUUCGCAUCUGGAACUGAAUCAAUUCCAGGAUCAGCUGACUAAGCUGUCAUUUGUGUCUGGUAUAAUCUACAUUUUGCAACUCUCCACUCCCCUGAGCCUUUCUGUCCCUAGUGGUUGAUCACAAGAAAGUGUAUUUUUUUAUUAUUAUCUGAAAUUCCUUGGGAUUUGCUCCUCACAAGAACUGAAUACAUCUCAAGGACAAUCUCAUAUGAAGAACUGAAAAGUUAAAACUCUCUAUCACUCACCAUAAACUUGUGCUUUAACCAUUUCCUUGGCUGUUUGGAAUAUUUUGUUGCUCUAAAGGAUAAUAAUAAUUACUUUCCUCCACAUACUGCAUAACGAUGCAGUGUUGAUUCAACAAUGUAGAAAUGUUCUGGAGAAUACUCAGAGUAUAAAACAAUGACAAUAUCAGGAAGACAAGUGGAACCCUGCAACUGGAUGUUCAAGAGAGAUACUACUGCAGGAUGUCCCUGAAGCAGAUUGUUUAAAUCCUGGAAACUCCUCAAGCUAAGGGAAUAUCAGGUAAAGAGACAAGUUUGGGGCCAUUUGUUCAUCUUUUCCCAGGCAAAUAACCCUUCUGAUCACAGCAACAUGCCAAUUGGAUUUCAAGGCAGACGGAAAACCUAAUUUAUUAUGUUUAAAUCAAAAAGGUGAAGGAUAAAAUAAGAUCCCAUGACUGAAUGGCAGUCAGUUUCAUUUUGAAGGAAAAGAAAUAGAAGGACACAGACUCCAAAGUGCAACAGUGACUUGGGUACAACCAAAAGCGAAUAUUAUUGUGGAGUGCAUUUGCUUUGUUGGUUGGUAAUGUUAAAGAAGAUCAGGCAAAAAGGUUAAACCAGCCUUCUUAAUGAUAAAUCGGUCAGAUUACCUGAACAAAUUGCUACAGUUUUGUUCACCUUCACAAAGUAUCCGAGAUGGAAGCACAAGGAAAACAGCUCUGAAUGCCUCAAGGUAUGUGCUGCCAUUUGUUCAGGUGGACUGAAUAUCAGCCAAGGAAGCUCCUCAUAAGAAGGUCCAUGGUCAGGAAGGUCGCAGGCCCUGACCACUAGAGAACAGAUGUGGCCUGGAGGUUUGAAGUUUUGACUUUAUUUUGUGAAAGGACUAUGUGUUAUAAUGUUUGCCUUUUAGAAAAGAAGGUGAUCCGACUUGUCAGUGAAAAGAAAGAAGAACAAAAAAAUGAA